AGAGUUUGAUCAUGGCUCAGGACGAACGCUGGCGGCGUGCUUAACACAUGCAAGUCGAGCGGAAAGGCCACUUCGGUGGUACUCGAGCGGCGAACGGGUGAGUAACACGUGAGUAAUCUGCCCUCCACUUUGGGAUAGCCACCGGAAACGGUGAUUAAUACCGGAUAUGACGCGCUCUCGCAUGGGGGUGUGUGGAAAGUUUUUUCGGUGGGGGAUGUGCUCGCGGCCUAUCAGCUUGAUGGUGGGGUAAUGGCCUACCAUGGCUUCGACGGGUAGCCGGCCUGAGAGGGUGACCGGCCACACUGGGACUGAGACACGGCCCAGACUCCUACGGGAGGCAGCAGUGGGGAAUAUUGGACAAUGGGCGGAAGCCUGAUCCAGCAACGCCGCGUGAGGGAUGACGGCCUUCGGGUUGUAAACCUCUUUCAGCACAGACGAAGCGAAAGUGACGGUAUGUGCAGAAGAAGCACCGGCCAACUACGUGCCAGCAGCCGCGGUAAUACGUAGGGUGCGAGCGUUGUCCGGAAUUAUUGGGCGUAAAGGGCUCGUAGGCGGUUUGUCGCGUCGGGAGUGAAAACACUGGGCUUAACUCAGUGCUUGCUUCCGAUACGGGCAGACUAGAGGUAUGCAGGGGAGAACGGAAUUCCUGGUGUAGCGGUGAAAUGCGCAGAUAUCAGGAGGAACACCGGUGGCGAAGGCGGUUCUCUGGGCAUUACCUGACGCUGAGGAGCGAAAGUGUGGGGAGCGAACAGGAUUAGAUACCCUAGUAGUCC
rnacentral:rRNA from 1 species